rnacentral:tRNA from 1 species
GUGGCUGUAGCUCAAUGGCAGAGUGCAUGCCUAGCAUGUGUGAGACACUGGGUUCGAUCCUCAGCACUGCA